AGCAUAAAAGAUAGAGCUCGUCUUCAAAGUUUCAUCGGUCACCCUCUUUGUAAUUUUUCUAGUUGAAGGCCUUUCUCUAGUUGUAGGGAGAUUUAAUCACUCCCUUCACCUCUUGUAUCAUUUCUUUUAUCCUUGUAAACUUUUAGUUGAUGUCUUUUUUCUAGUGGUAGGGAGAUUUAAUCACUUUCUUCACCCCUCGUAUUCUUUUUAUUCACACAAAGUAGUAUACAAGAAACUUAACAAGAAUCUCAAGAGAAUUCUUCAUCAAAAAAAGAAAAAAAUACAAGUAGAAAAAUUAGCUAUAAAGAAUUAAAAAAAAAAAAAAAAAAAAAAAAAAAAAAAAAAAAAAUGUAAUUGUUGUUUUACUUACUCUAAACUAUCUAAUUGGAAUAAACCUACAUAAAAAGAUUCGAACAUGAAGAAAGACUAUCCGCAUGAAUUUUCACAUUAAGAUCACACAAUUAAUUGUCUCUUAAUCAACAAAAAUAUCUAAAAAAGCUAUAAUGCCUUUCACAUUCUAUUAAAUAAAAUAUUACAAUUGAUAAUUCUAUCUUAUGUAUAGACUGUCUCUUCUCAUCUCCAAACUUAUGAUAAUAAUAAGUAAUAUUGUACUAUCUUAAAAGGAUGUAUAAAAUUCUAUAAUCCAAUCAUUGAAUUUUUUCUAAAUUAAUUGUCAUUCUCAAUAAUCUGCUUCACUUAAUUCCAGACUCAACAGACUUCUUCUUAUGGCAUACUCUCAACUUUCAAAAAUCAAUAUAUUAUAAUUCUCCCACUCAUAUCCAUACUUCACAAAUAUCUUCCAUUAUCAACUUUGUAAUUUUUCACUUAUAAUUUAGUAUACAAUAAAUUUAAUUUUUUAUUUGACAUCAUAUAAAUCAAAUUUUUUUUUCAUUACAAAAUUUUACUUCAAAUUAUUCAAAUUCUAUCUAUUACCUUUUUUCUAUAAAGAAAAUAAAAAAAAAAAGUAGCACCAAGCUAAUCCCAACUUAUGACUAAUACAGUUUGGCCUUUCCCACUUUUUUUUCAUCUAAUUUAUACUUAUUUCAAAAUAGAGAUUCCAACCAAUAAUUCUUAUUUAAUUACUUUUUUUAACUAAAUCAUCCAUCCUACCUCCUAAAUUGACUAUCUUAUGGAUGAUUAAUCAAUUUUAUCAAUAUCUAACCAAUGUCCUAUAACAACCAAUUUCUAUCCAUUCUACAUAGCCUUGCUUCUAACUGUAUAGCAUCCUCACAAACACAAUAUUAAUAAAAAAAAAACUUCUUCAACAAAAUCCUUACAAUUUUUUUAUCCUCUGGCUUGCUAGAUUGAUCAAUCUUAACAUUUUUUAUAGAUAGUUCUAUAGUUUCUGGUUCUAAUGAUAAGUCCUCAUCCUCCUCUAAUUCUUCCAUUGGCUCUUUUCUCAAUUGGGCUGAUAAGUCUUCAUUAUACGCUCCCUAUUCACAAAC
rnacentral:lncRNA from 1 species